ACACACAUACCAACCAAGAGUAUAAGCACAAUCUAAAAGCCAUUAAUUAAUUAGCACAUCUUAAUUAUUAUUCCAAAUGGCUUCAAAAAUUGCUAUUCUCCUUUCCAUCAACAUCCUAUUUUUCACUAUGGUUACCUCAACUAAUGUUUCAUGUCCUCCAUCACCCCCUAAAGUUCAAAAACCCCCCCAACAACCUUCCCCAAAACCCCCCCAACAACCUUCCCCAAAAUCCCCCCAACCACCUUCCCCAAAAUCCCCAACUUGUCCUAUAGACACACUUAAGUUUGGUGUGUGUGCUGAUUUAUUGGGUGUGGUUCAUAUUAUAAUUGGUAAGU
rnacentral:lncRNA from 1 species